UACGGGGGGGGGUAAGCGUUGUUCGGAAUUACUGGGCGUAAAGGGCUCGUAGGCGGCCAACUAAGUCAGACGUGAAAUCCCUCAGCUUAACUGGGGAACUGCGUCUGAUACUGGAUGGCUUGGAUUCGGGAGAGGGAUGCGGAAUUCCAGGUGUAGCGGUGAAAUGCGUAGAUAUCUGGAGGAACACCGGUGGCGAAGGCGGCAUCCUGGACCGGUAUUGACGCUGAGGCGCGAAAGCCAGGGGAGCAAACGGG
rnacentral:rRNA from 1 species